GCGGGGAUAGGUGUCGCCGCCCGUCAGCUUCCCAAGCUGACGGCGCGGGUUCGAUUCCCGUCACCCGCU
rnacentral:tRNA from 1 species